CCUACGGGAGGCAGCAGUGAGGAAUAUUGGUCAAUGGACGAGAGUCUGAACCAGCCAAGUAGCGUGAAGGAUGACUGCCCUAUGGGUUGUAAACUUCUUUUAUAUGGGAAUAAAACGUUCCACGUGUGGGAUUUUGUAUGUACCAUAUGAAUAAGGAUCGGCUAACUCCGUGCCAGCAGCCGCGGUAAUACGGAGGAUCCGAGCGUUAUCCGGAUUUAUUGGGUUUAAAGGGAGCGUAGGUGGAUUGUUAAGUCAGUUGUGAAAGUUUGCGGCUCAACCGUAAAAUUGCAGUUGAAACUGGCAGUCUUGAGUACAGUAGAGGUGGGCGGAAUUCGUGGUGUAGCGGUGAAAUGCUUAGAUAUGACGAAGAACUCCGAUUGCGAAGGCAGUUCACUGGACUGCAACUGACACUGAGGCUCGAAAGUGUGGGUAUCAAACAGGAUUAGAUACCCGAGUAGUC
rnacentral:rRNA from 1 species